GAUGAACGCUGGCGGCGUGCCUAAUACAUGCAAGUCGAGCGAACAGACGAGGAGCUUGCUCCUCUGACGUUAGCGGCGGACGGGUGAGUAACACGUGGAUAACCUACCUAUAAGACUGGGAUAACUUCGGGAAACCGGAGCUAAUACCGGAUAAUAUAUUGAACCGCAUGGUUCAAUAGUGAAAGACGGUUUUGCUGUCACUUAUAGAUGGAUCCGCGCCGCAUUAGCUAGUUGGUAAGGUAACGGCUUACCAAGGCGACGAUGCGUAGCCGACCUGAGAGGGUGAUCGGCCACACUGGAACUGAGACACGGUCCAGACUCCUACGGGAGGCAGCAGUAGGGAAUCUUCCGCAAUGGGCGAAAGCCUGACGGAGCAACGCCGCGUGAGUGAUGAAGGUCUUCGGAUCGUAAAACUCUGUUAUGAGGGAAGAACAAAUGUGUAAGUAACUAUGCACGUCUGGACGGUACCUAAGCAGAAAGCCACGGCUAACUACGU
rnacentral:rRNA from 1 species